CUAAGCAUUGAUAGGAAAGACAAAUCCAGUGUGUAUGGAGUUCAUCUUUAGGAGAUGGCAUGUAAAGCAAGUGUUCACUUACCUGGAGGAUUCAGAGAACUUGAAGUAUAUGGUUGAAGGUGAGUACCUAUUGUCCAGAGGACGUGCACCAUUUUGCCUUAGGGCUCAUAGAGGUGCACUUAGGUUAUUAGAGAUAACGUCUUGCACAUCCUGAAUUUGUUGGGAUUGCGUAGUGAAGUAGAGCAGACAGUUUGUCAUCCAAU
rnacentral:lncRNA from 1 species